CUCAACGAAAUUUAAUUUCGGUUCCUCGUGUAGACAAGUUACGAUAUUCUUGUUCAUUUGGGGAUAAUAAAGUUUGGUGCUCUACCUAGCAUUAUUACUAUCUAUGAGAAGUCCAUGUACCUGGAUCUUGCAUGAUUGGCAAUGAAUAAGUUAAUUAUAAGUGAUGUGAGCAGAAAUAGUUGCUCUCUCAAGGGUCUAUUAUUAAUGGUGAAUUCUUC
rnacentral:lncRNA from 1 species